rnacentral:rRNA from 1 species
CGCGUAGGCGGUGGUAUAAGUCUGAGGUGGAAUCCUACAGCUUAACUAUAGGACUGCCUUGGAAACUGUAUUACUUGAGUCGGACAGGGGAAGGCGGAAUUCCUGGUGUAGCGGUGAAAUGCGUAGAUAUCAGGAGGAAGGCCUGUGGUGAAGACGGCCUUCUGGGUCUUGACUGACGCUGAGGCGCGAAAGCGUGGGUAGCAAACAGGAUUAGCUACCCUGGUAGUCCACGCCCUAAACGGUGGGCACUAGGUGUGGGAUCUGUAAGGGUUCCGUGCCGAAGGGAAACCAUUAAGUGCCCCGCCUGGGAAGUACGGCCGCAAGGUUGAA